rnacentral:rRNA from 1 species
CCUACGGGAGGCUGCAGUGGGGAAUAUUGCACAAUGGGGGAAACCCUGAUGCAGCGAAGCCGCGUGAGUGAAGAAGGACUUCGGGAUGUAAAGCUCUAUCAGCAGGGAAGAAAAUGACGGUACCUGAGUAAGAAGCCCCGGCUAACUACGUGCCAGCAGCCGCGGUAAUACGUAGGGGGCAAGCGUUAUCCGGAUUUACUGGGUGUAAAGGGGGCGUAGACGGCAGUGCAGGUCUGGAGUUAAAGGCGGGGGCUCAACCCCCGGACUGCUCUGGAAACUGUACGGCUGGAGUGCAGGAGAGGUAAGUGGAAUUCCUAGUGUAGCGGUGAAAUGCGUAGAUAUUAGGAGGAACACCAGUGGCGAAGGCGGCUUACUGGACUGUAACUGACGUUGAGGCUCGAAAGCGUGGGGAGCAAACAGGAUUAGAUACCCUAGUAGUC